AUUGAACGCUGGCGGCAGGCCUAACACAUGCAAGUCGAGCGGGGUUUUCGGACCUAGCGGCGGACGGGUGAGUAAUGCGUAGGAAGCUACCCGAUAGAGGGGGAUACCAGUUGGAAACGACUGUUAAUACCGCAUAAUGUCUACGGACCAAAGUGUGGGACCUUCGGGCCACAUGCUAUCGGAUGCGCCUACGUGGGAUUAGCUAGUUGGUGAGGUAAUGGCUCACCAAGGCGACGAUCCCUAGCUGGUUUGAGAGGAUGAUCAGCCACACUGGAACUGAGACACGGUCCAGACUCCUACGGGAGGCAGCAGUGGGGAAUAUUGGGCAAUGGGCGCAAGCCUGAUCCAGCCAUGCCGCGUGUGUGAAGAAGGCCUUCGGGUUGUAAAGCACUUUCAGUGGGGAGGAAGCGUUGUGUGUUAAUAGUACACAGCGUUGACGUUACCUACAGAAGAAGCACCGGCUAACUCUGUGCCAGCAGCCGCGGUAAUAC
rnacentral:rRNA from 1 species